CAUCUUCACUCUCUCUCUUUCCUUCUCUCUUUCUCUCUCUCUCUCUCUCUCUCUCUCUCGUGGUGAAUUCUAAUACAGCAGCAGCAGAGCUCCGCCUAGUCUUCAUUCAUCACUUCUUUGCCACCACUGUGUAAGUUGUAUUCAGCAUCAUUCUGCUGCUCGUGUUGUCAAAGUCUCAAGCCUUUGGCAUAGAUUCAAAACACACGUAAUACAUAUAUAUCAAUCAAUUAUACAUAUAUUUAAUAAAAUGAGAUGUCUACCUGAUCUGGAUUCUGCUUGAGAGUGUGCUUGUGUAUAUAACAACUUGAUUAAAAACUGGGACUUUGAUGCUAUUCUCUGCAACAUUUCCUUGAAAGACUAGAAAUCUCUUAAACGCUUCAUAUCUGUCUAUCCACCUUCAACCUCUUUCAGUCUCUUGCUAUUCAUCCGCCGGCACUUUGUAUCAGUCACUUUAUAGCCAUCAUUCUUUCAUUCACCUGAUUCAAACCUCAUGUGCCCUUUACCCUUUUUCCUACCGUUUUCUGUUUAUCCCUUUCCUCAUUUCAAGCCCUGUUUGUCUCUUUCUUUCCCAAACUCUCCAUUGCUUUUCUUGCUCUCCCCAUCUCACACAGCCUCUCUUUCUUUGUCCCCCUCUCUAUCGAAACAACGGCUUGCUGACGGCUUUCCAAUUACUGCAGGGACCGAGGGGCCGGGAUGGCUGCCGAAUGUUAAUGUCUAAGCAGCAUCAGGCAGCAGCACACACAGAGCAGAGGAGGGAGGGCUGGAGAAGCAGUGAAAUGAGGCUAUGUCAAAGUGACACAGAGGGCCGAAAAAGUAGAUCCCAUAAAGAAUAUCUAUUUCAAUCACUCAAAUCUGCCUCCUCCACUCACACACCUCUGCCACACCAUACACCUAGUGUGAGGUUACUGUAUGUAUACAGCUUGACCUCAUUUCACCCUGCAGUUAAGUUGAUGAUGGUUGGGUUGACACAUGCUAUCUAUGUGUCAGACAGAAGGGAGGUGGUGGAGAUGAUUCCUGCUCUCUUUAUGUCUUUAAUGACACUUUUGU
rnacentral:lncRNA from 1 species